CUCUGACAGUGGAAAAAGAAUAAUUAUACUGCACUGUCACAUAUUUCCUCCCUCUUCAGUGAGCUGAGAAGCAACAUGAAUUUAUCCAACUCCAACUGUAUUUUUGACAUUCUUUCAUUGCAGAGCUGCUAUUUGCAUCAGCUUCCUGUUUCAUGACAGGCCAUUGAUGGGGGCAUUCUCUGUUUUUCAUUUUGUUCCUUACAGAUGUAAAACUUGGGGAGUCUUCACAAGCAAUCUGGAGGAAUGAGUCUGCGGUAGAAAGGACAGUGCCUGUGAAAUUAUUACUUAAAACAGAGUCCAGAGUCUCAGGAUGUUAUCCUUGAGUGACCUGGGAAGGAGUGAGCUCCUUCAUAGCUGGAAAGCAUGUGACGUUGACUGCUGUCAGGAAACUUGCAGCUGCAGGAUAAUGGUCUGAAACUUUGUCAUGGGGAAGCUUCUUUUCUGUUGGCAUAUUUCUUUACUUUUAACUCAAAGAUUCCUCUGUAAGGAGACCAUUUUCCCCUCCAGUUCAUUGGAAACAAGUAAGUUGCAUUUCAAUUUCUCUAGUAAAAAGCUUAAGCUAGUCUCUUUAAUCAUGCAUCUCAGAAAAUGUGACUGUUGUCAGAAGAGAUUUCAAGCAAGAGAUAUUACCCAUGGAAGAAAAUGUAGUUGUGUGCCAGGAAUACAGAGAUAGAUUCCCAAAGGGGGAAGAAAAAAUAGUGAAAGGCAGAGCUAGUCUUGCAGAAGCACCGUUAUGCUUUGGCCCGGGAAGUGAAACACCCAACAUACUAUUUCCUCUGCUAACUAAGAGGGGCAAGGAUUAACCAGCCCUUGAAAAGGUAAUAAUUUAAGCAAGUGGAAUGCCAGCAAUGCUCACUUACAGGGGAAAGUUUAUAGUGCUUAUAUCCUGUCUGCUUUACUUUAAUAAAAUGUAAAAUACUUUCA
rnacentral:lncRNA from 1 species